GUGCCAGCAGCCGCGGUAAUACAGAGGUCUCAAGCGUUGUUCGGAAUCACUGGGCGUAAAGGGUGCGUAGGUGGCGUGGUAAGUCAGAUGUGAAAGCCCGGGGCUCAACCUCGGAACUGCAUCCGAUACUGCCAUGCUAGAGUACUGGAGAGGUGACUAGAAUUCUCGGUGUAGCAGUGAAAUGCGUAGAUAUCGAGAGGAAUACCAAAGGCGUAGGCAGGUCACUGGACAGUUACUGACACUGAGGCACGAAGGCCAGGGGAGCGAACGGGAUUAGAUACCCCCGUAGUCC
rnacentral:rRNA from 1 species